rnacentral:rRNA from 1 species
GGUUAAGCGACUAAGCGUACACGGUGGAUGCCCUGGCAGUCAGAGGCGAUGAAGGGCGUGCUAAUCUGCGAUAAGCGCCGGUAAGGUGAUAUGAACCGUUAUAACCGGCGAUACCCGAAUGGGGAAACCCAGUGUGACUCGUCACACUAUCAUUAACUGAAUCCAUAGGUUAAUGAGGCGAACCGGGGGAACUGAAACAUCUAAGUACCCCGAGGAAAAGAAAUCAACCGAGAUUCCCCCAGUAGCGGCGAGCGAACGGGGAGGAGCCCAGAGCCUGAAUCAGCAUGUGUGUUAGUGGAAGCGUCUGGAAAGGCGCGCGAUACAGGGUGACAGCCCCGUACACAAAAGCGCAUGUGCUGUGAGCUCGAUGAGUAGGGCGGGACACGUGGUAUCCUGUCUGAAUAUGGGGGGACCAUCCUCCAAGGCUAAAUACUCCUGACUGACCGAUAGUGAACCAGUACCGUGAGGGAAAGGCGAAAAGAACCCCGGCGAGGGGAGUGAAAAAGAACCUGAAACCGUGUACGUACAAGCAGUGGGAGCACAGGUUUACCUGUGUGACUGCGUACCUUUUGUAUAAUGGGUCAGCGACUUAUAUUCUGUAGCAAGGUUAACCGAAUAGGGGAGCCGGAGGGAAACCGAGUCUUAAUUGGGCGUUAAGUUGCAGGGUAUAGACCCGAAACCCGGUGAUCUAGCCAUGGGCAGGUUGAAGGUUGGGUAACACUAACUGGAGGACCGAACCGACUAAUGUUGAAAAAUUAGCGGAUGACCUGUGGCUGGGGGUGAAAGGCCAAUCAAACCGGGAGAUAGCUGGUUCUCCCCGAAAGCUAUUUAGGUAGCGCCUCGUGAAUUCAUCUCCGGGGGUAGAGCACUGUUUCGGCUAGGGGGCCAUCCCGGCUUACCAACCCGAUGCAAACUGCGAAUACCGGAGAAUGUUAUCACGGGAGACACACGGCGGGUGCUAACGUCCGUCGUGAAGAGGGAAACAACCCAGACCGCCAGCUAAGGUCCCAAAGUCAUGGUUAAGUGGGAAACGAUGUGGGAAGGCCCAGACAGCCAGGAUGUUGGCUUAGAAGCAGCCAUCAUUUAAAGAAAGCGUAAUAGCUCACUGGUCGAGUCGGCCUGCGCGGAAGAUGUAACGGGGCUAAACCAUGCACCGAAGCUGCGGCAGCGAACGUAUCACUUAAAGCGAUUCAGCGGGUUACGAUUGACGGAGCGAAGCGACGUCAAAGCGUAUACAAAGUCGAGUCGGUUUAAGGAUACGUUCGUUGGGUAGGGGAGCGUUCUGUAAGCCUGCGAAGGUGGCCUGUGAGGGUUGCUGGAGGUAUCAGAAGUGCGAAUGCUGACAUAAGUAACGAUAAAGCGGGUGAAAAGCCCGCUCGCCGGAAGACCAAGGGUUCCUGUCCAACGUUAAUCGGGGCAGGGUGAGUCGACCCCUAAGGCGAGGCCGAAAGGCGUAGUCGAUGGGAAACGGGUUAAUAUUCCCGUACUUGGUGUUACUGCGAAGGGGGGACGGAGAAGGCUAUGUUGGCCGGGCGACGGUUGUCCCGGUUUAAGCGUGUAGGUGUGUGUUCCAGGUAAAUCCGGUUCACUUUAACACUGAGGCGUGAUGACGAGGCACUACGGUGCUGAAGCAACAAAUGCCCUGCUUCCAGGAAAAGCCUCUAAGCAUCAGGUAACAUCAAAUCGUACCCCAAACCGACACAGGUGGUCAGGUAGAGAAUACCAAGGCGCUUGAGAGAACUCGGGUGAAGGAACUAGGCAAAAUGGUGCCGUAACUUCGGGAGAAGGCACGCUGACACGUAGGUGAAGUGAUUUACUCAUGGAGCUGAAGUCAGUCGAAGAUACCAGCUGGCUGCAACUGUUUAUUAAAAACACAGCACUGUGCAAACACGAAAGUGGACGUAUACGGUGUGACGCCUGCCCGGUGCCGGAAGGUUAAUUGAUGGGGUCAGCGCAAGCGAAGCUCCUGAUCGAAGCCCCGGUAAACGGCGGCCGUAACUAUAACGGUCCUAAGGUAGCGAAAUUCCUUGUCGGGUAAGUUCCGACCUGCACGAAUGGCGUAAUGAUGGCCAGGCUGUCUCCACCCGAGACUCAGUGAAAUUGAACUCGCUGUGAAGAUGCAGUGUACCCGCGGCAAGACGGAAAGACCCCGUGAACCUUUACUAUAGCUUGACACUGAACAUUGAGCCUUGAUGUGUAGGAUAGGUGGGAGGCUUUGAAGCGUGGACGCCAGUCUGCGUGGAGCCGACCUUGAAAUACCACCCUUUAAUGUUUGAUGUUCUAACGUGGACCCGUAAUCCGGGUUGCGGACAGUGUCUGGUGGGUAGUUUGACUGGGGCGGUCUCCUCCUAAAGAGUAACGGAGGAGCACGAAGGUUGGCUAAUCCUGGUCGGACAUCAGGAGGUUAGUGCAAUGGCAUAAGCCAGCUUGACUGCGAGCGUGACGGCGCGAGCAGGUGCGAAAGCAGGUCAUAGUGAUCCGGUGGUUCUGAAUGGAAGGGCCAUCGCUCAACGGAUAAAAGGUACUCCGGGGAUAACAGGCUGAUACCGCCCAAGAGUUCAUAUCGACGGCGGUGUUUGGCACCUCGAUGUCGGCUCAUCACAUCCUGGGGCUGAAGUAGGUCCCAAGGGUAUGGCUGUUCGCCAUUUAAAGUGGUACGCGAGCUGGGUUUAGAACGUCGUGAGACAGUUCGGUCCCUAUCUGCCGUGGGCGCUGGAGAACUGAGGGGGGCUGCUCCUAGUACGAGAGGACCGGAGUGGACGCAUCACUGGUGUUCGGGUUGUCAUGCCAAUGGCACUGCCCGGUAGCUAAAUGCGGAAGAGAUAAGUGCUGAAAGCAUCUAAGCACGAAACUUGCCCCGAGAUGAGUUCUCCCUGAGACUUAGAGUCUCCUGAAGGAACGUUGAAGACGACGACGUUGAUAGGCCGGGUGUGUAAGCGCAGCGAUGCGUUGAGCUAACCGGUACUAAUGAACCGUGAGGCUUAACCUU